UACAGAGGUCUCAAGCGUUGUUCGGAUUCAUUGGGCGUAAAGGGCGCGUAGGCGGCUUGACAAGUCACUUGUGAAAUCUCCGGGCUUAACUCGGAACGGCCAAGUGAAACUGUCAUGCUAGAGUGCAGAAGGGGCAAUCGGAAUUCUUGGUGUAGCGGUGAAAUGCGUAGAUAUCAAGAGGAACACCUGAGGUGAAGACGGGUUGCUGGGCUGACACUGACGCUGAGGCGCGAAAGCCAGGGGAGCAAACGGG
rnacentral:rRNA from 1 species